GGCUGGGUAGCUCAGUUGGUACGAGCGCGCGACUGAAAAUCGUGAGGUCGACGGUUCGAUCCCGUCCCCAGCCACCA
rnacentral:tRNA from 1 species